AGGUCAGUUUCAUAACUGAUUUCCCACCUCUUCCUUUGCAGUUGAAAAGGAAUACAUGGAAUACCUUAAAAGCUGAGAGAAAAGAAGACCAAGAUGAUCUUACGCAGCGUAUGAUCCAGGAGAUAGUAUUGCUGAGACAUUUCCACCUUGUGGAUGCUUAUUCUGGAACCAGAGAAAAGCUCUGCAAGUCUGGGUUUCCCAGAAGCCUGCAUCCCUCUACUUGAGCCAAGGGAUGGCAUUUAUGUACAGUUCUUCUCUGCAAAAAUACCAGCUGAUCACCAUGACAAAUGUUUUAUCAUUGGUUCAUGACAUGCUCAGCGUGGCCUUUCCUUGUGCAUUUGCAUGCCAGAAAGCCAACCAUAUCCUUGUCUGCAUCAAAAGAAUCACCACCAGCAGGUCACAAGAGCCGAUUCUCCCCCUCUGCUUCACUCUGGUGAGGCCCCACAUGGAGUGCAGUGUCUGGCUCCGGUGUUCUCAGUAAAAGAAAGACAUGGAACUGUUGGAGUGAGUGAGGAAGAGGGCCAUAAUAACAAUCAGUGGACUGGAGUUUCUCCACUGUGAGUACAAACUGAGAGAGUUGAGGUGUUCAGCCUGGGCAGACCCUACGGCAACCUUCCAACCCACACUGGAUGGGGCUUUAAGCAGCCUGAUCUAGUGGAAGGUGUCCCUGUGUGUGGCAGAGGGGUUGGAACUAGAUGGUCCUUAAAACUCCUUCCAGCCCAAACCAUUCUAUGAUUCUGUGUCUGCAGACUGGGUAUAGAGAAUAACCCAAAGCUGGACUUUCCAGAAUCUGCUCUGCCUAAAAACCCAGAGUGUUCUGCUGUUGAACCCACUGAAGAUCUCAGAAGCAAUAACCUUUUGGCUGCUGGGAACUUUUCAAAGGAAAAAACUCUAACUUGCUGACUUUGGUGUGCAGGGAACUCGAGUGACCAUAUGGGUUACCGCCUACAUCUUGCAAAGAACACUGGCAUCUCUUGCCAAGAUUUAGUCCUCAGAGGAGAAGGAAGUGACUUGCCUUGUGACCAGCUGGAAGCUGAAGGCUUUGAUUAGUUUAUAAACCAUUUUUAAAUCCUUUGCUUGUGCAGUGUUGUACUGAGUCACACUGGUGAGCUCCUGCUGCUGCUGCUGCCUUCCAACACUCUUACAUGUAUCAGCCUUACGGUGAGCUGCUACCAGUUUACCACAUGGUGUAUCAUCAAUUGCAGAAGUCACAAGAAGGUAUUUUGUAAGACUAAUGGAGCAUAUUUAAAAACAGAUAUAGAUGAGAAGUCAGGAUGGUGACCACUGACACAUUCCUGGCUGAAGAAGAAGAUAUGGUAGCAUAUAAAUGGGGAAGUAGUAUUGGGAGCUGUGAAGAUCAGGCUGAGGCAGUGGAACACUAUGCGUGAACUAGUACCUUAGCCUGGAAUGAGAAGGUGUGUACACUGAUUAUUUCUCUAAGUUCUGGGACAACCAAACACUAAAAUGCCUUUGUUGACCUUAGGUUUGCACCAUACAUGGCUUUACCAGUGGAUGCAAUUUCAGUGAAUCACAACAAAUAGCUUUAGUCUGGAAACUGGGCUUAGUUGUGUAGCCAAAGUUGCUCAUAGCAGGUAACUUAAAUACAAUACAUUUCAAAGUGCAUCAGAAUGUGUAUUUCACAGCAGCUUGCAUCAGCAGUGUCCAGAAAUCAGCAGUGUGUGGUACCAGUAAUGACUGAAAUGGAAGACAAGAUUACACUGGCAUGUUUUCUACCCAAAAAUGUUAAUGUCAAAUUCAUGAGUAAUCAAAUGGCUACAGUAAUUAUCUAAUCUGUUCCCUGUAUUUGUAUUGCUUGAAAUGUAUUUAUAAUACUCCUGCCAUCACAGGAUUUGUGAACAUUUGCUUUAGGCACUGCUCCUACACAUUCUGUACGUGCAAGCAGGCCUCACUAGCAUGCGUCAUUCCACCAAUGUCAGCAGAACUGUGGCAGAGGGGCAAGUUUAUAGAGCUCAUGAUGGGUUUAUGCGAGAUGCCUCAGGUGGUGCAUGUACUGUGCUGAUGUGUACAGCAUCCCUUUGUUGCUGAGAACAUGCCUUGCCUUUGUCUCUGCUGAGCAGCUUUGCCAGUAUGCCAUGUUAUCUGGACUGUGCUGUUUCCAGUAUCCAGCUUCUCCUCAGUGCUAGCUUUAUGGCUUUCCUUGAGGCACUCCUAUAAAACCAGAGUCACAGAUUAAAGAAGUCUGAUGCAGGCAGGAGACAAAAGGAGGCUGGAAUCCGGGACCUAAGCUCUCAAUAGAAGUUUCUUGGUAUGGGCUCAAGCCUGCAAAUGCUAACUGUUGAAUGAUCAAAGCAAAUGGGUAUUUUACAUUAAGAACAAUGGACCUUCUCUUUAUGGAUGCAUGUCUGUAUGUGCUUAGCCUGUACCACAUAUGUACUGGUAGAAAUAAUGUGAAAAUGUGAAGAUCCAUGUAAUUAAAAUCCCAGUCCCUCAGUGAUGCUGUUGACUGACCUGAUUUCCCUGCUAAGAAUCAUGAGUAAAUCUUCUAGAAAAACUACCAUGCCAAACGUUGUGUUGUGCUUAAUCCUGUACUUGUCCUUUAUGUGGUGCUCCCUUUGACGUCAGUGGAAACUCGACAUCUGAGAGUGCAGAGGAAUCAGGUUGAAUUGCUUCUUUUUUUAUAUAUAUAUUAAACUGAAGGAAGGCUUCUGAAAUGUGCAGGCAUCUUACUCCUUUCUACAACAAAAAGGAAUGUUUUCUGCUUUAGCCUUCAGGGACUGUUGCCUCUAUGGAUCUGUGGCAGCACGACUGGCUGCCAGAGAUUUAGAAGUGAUAGCUGGAAAGUACCUAUAAUGAGCAGACCAGGAAUUCCUAAUAGACCUGUGCACUCCCAUUUGGUGUUCUGCAUCUCAUAUGCCAGUGCCGCUUCUAAGUAACUUCUGUAUAUGCAGUUUUGCCUUCGUGUUUCCAUUUUGGGGCUGUUAAACCAUCUCGCUAAGAGGCUCGCAAAUGUGAGAGGACACACACUGUGUUUAUCUGCAGUAAGCAUUAAAUAUUUUCUGCUUACAAUCGAAA